CACGUAGGGCGCAAGCGUUGUCCGGAAUUAUUGGGCGUAAAGAGCUCGUAGGCGGUCUGUUACGUCUGCUGUGAAAACCCAGGGCUUAACCCCGAGCCUGCAGUGGAUACGGGCAGACUAGAGGUAGGUAGGGGAGGAUGGAAUUCCCGGUGUAGCGGUGAAAUGCGCAGAUAUCGGGAGGAACACCGGUGGCGAAGGCGGUUCUCUGGGCCUUACCUGACGCUGAGGAGCGAAAGCCAGGGGAGCAAACGGG
rnacentral:rRNA from 1 species